UACGUAGGGGGCAAGCGUUGUCCGGAUUCAUUGGGCGUAAAGAGCGUGUAGGCGGCCAGGUAGGUCCGGUGUGAAAACUCGAGGCUUAACCUCGAGAUGUCAUCGGAAACCAUCUGGCUAGAGUCCGGAAGAGGAAAGUGGAAUUCCUGGUGUAGCGGUGAAAUGCGCAGAUAUCAGGAAGAACACCAAUGGCGAAAGCAGCUUUCUGGGACGGUACUGACGCUGAGACGCGAAAGCGUGGGGAGCGAACAGG
rnacentral:rRNA from 1 species